rnacentral:rRNA from 1 species
UACGAAGGGGGCUAGCGUUGCUCGGAAUUACUGGGCGUAAAGGGAGCGUAGGCGGACAGUUUAGUCAGAGGUGAAAGCCCAGGGCUCAACCCUGGAAUUGCCUUUGAUACUGAUUGUCUUGAGUACGGGAGAGGUGUGUGGAACUCCGAGUGUAGAGGUGAAAUUCGUAGAUAUUCGGAAGAACACCAGUGGCGAAGGCGACACACUGGCCCGUUACUGACGCUGAGGCUCGAAAGCGUGGGGAGCAAACAGG